CUCUGAUGUUAGCGGCGGACGGGUGAGUAACACGUGGAUAACCUACCUAUAAGACUGGGAUAACUUCGGGAAACCGGAGCUAAUACCGGAUAAUAUUUUGAACCGCAUGGUUCAAAAGUGAAAGACGGUCUUGCUGUCACUUAUAGAUGGAUCCGCGCUGCAUUAGCUAGUUGGUAAGGUAACGGCUUACCAAGGCAACGAUGCAUAGCCGACCUGAGAGGGUGAUCGGCCACACUGGAACUGAGACACGGUCCAGACUCCUACGGGAGGCAGCAGUAGGGAAUCUUCCGCAAUGGGCGAAAGCCUGACGGAGCAACGCCGCGUGAGUGAUGAAGGUCUUCGGAUCGUAAAACUCUGUUAUUAGGGAAGAACAUAUGUGUA
rnacentral:rRNA from 1 species